CCCCCGGCCCGGCCCGGCCCCGCCGUGCGCGGACCGCCGGAUCCCAACAAAGCGCGGAAAGAAACGCACAAAGCAUCAAAAGGCAUCAGCGCCAAUAUUAGCGCCGGUUAGACCCGCUCCCCGCGGAACUAGGCCAGCAGAUGGUGCUACCCGUCAUUAUUCCAUUAGGCUCCGCGUUUAACCCCCGCGGGGAUCGGCUUUAACCCUUCCCGCUCCCCGCCCGCAGCGCCGCCCACAGCGGCUGCUCGCUCCCGUGGAAAACCGUGGGAACCGGGCGCUGUUCGUCCUGGACCUCGCUGCACUACAAGCCUGCGGCUCCAGCCCCGGGGGAGGGCACGGGGGGGACAGCGGCCGAAGCCGAGCCUGUGGCCUCACAAACAGAUUUUGCUCUCCAAUAAAAUGGAAGAACUCCUCGGUUUUACCCCUCUGCCCCUGCCCAGACCUGCGGGACCCUGCGGUGGAGACCUCCUCGGGACACGGCUCUCUGUUGCCCCACACCAUCUGCUGGGAUUGCUUCACAAAGCCAAGAGCACUAGCAAAUGAAGAUCUGUGGGGUUCUAUCAUUUUCCAUUUUCUUUGGUGCAUAUAUGGAACUCUUAAGAGAGCCAGUGAAGCAUUCCGAAUUGUGAUUCUUUCAAUAUGCUGAUAAUACACUUCUUUCUUUUUCUAGCUUAUUAUCACUGUUAAUGAAUGUCUCAGUAUUUAAGGGAUACAGAAUUUCAAGACACACAUAUAUGAAACCUAACCCAAAUUAAAAUAGACAUUAAAAAAAAAAAAAAAAGGAAAAAGAUACCAAGUGAGAGUCCACCUUUUUCAUCUUCCAUACUUGUUAUCUAUGAUGUUGGUAAAUGAAUGGCUAACAAUUACAGCACUGUGGCCAGAAAACAGUU